rnacentral:rRNA from 1 species
AUACGGAGGGUGCAAGCGUUACUCGGAAUCACUGGGCGUAAAGCGCGCGCAGGCGGCUUGAUAAGUUGGAUGUGAAAGCCUACGGCUCAACCGUAGAACUGCAUCCAAAACUGUCAAGCUGGAGUCUGGGAGGGGAAGAUGGAAUUAGUUGUGUAGGGGUAAAAUCCGUAGAGAUAACUAGGAAUACCAAAAGCGAAGGCGAUCUUCUGGAACAGUACUGACGCUGAGGCGCGAAAGCGUGGGGAGCAAACAGGAUUAGAAACCCGAGUAGUCC